rnacentral:rRNA from 1 species
GCUCCCCUUAAAGCGGCGGACUGGUGAGUAACGCGUGGGUGAUCUACCUUGAGGAUGGGGAUAGCUGUUAGAAAUAGCAGUGUAAUACCGAAUACGACUAGCCUUGCUGUGUGCAGCGUUAUGAAAGAGGCUUUGGCCUCACCUUAAGAUGAGCCCGCGUCCCAUUAGCUAGUUGGAGGUGUAAAGGACCACCAAGGCGAAAGAUGGGUAGCCGAGCCUGAGAGUGGUGAACGGCCACAUUGGGACUGAGAUACGUGCCCAGACUCCUACGGGAGUGCAGCAGCUAAGAAUAUUCCUGCAAUGGACGAAAGUCUGACGGAGCGACGCCGCGUGGAUGAGGAAGGCCGAAAGGUUGUAAAAUCCUUUUGCCGACGAAGAAUAAUCACAGUAGGGAAUGAUUGUGAGAUGACGUUAGUCGGACGAAUAAUGCCCCGGCUAAUUAC